rnacentral:rRNA from 1 species
UACGAAGGGGGCUAGCGUUGCUCGGAUUGACUGGGCGUAAAGGGCGCGUAGGCGGUUCGUACAGUCAGACGUGAAAUUCCUGGGCUCAACCUGGGGGCUGCGUUUGAUACGUGCGGACUUGAGUGCGGAAGAGGGCCGUGGAAUUCCCAGUGUAGAGGUGAAAUUCGUAGAUAUUGGCAAGAACACCGAGGCGGAGGACGGCGCUCACGUGCCCCGAUACUGACGCUGAGGCACGAAAGCGUGGGGAGCAAACAGG